UCCGAAUGAGGAAACUCACAUGGGAAACCCCAUGUAUCAUUAAGUGAAUACAUAGCUUAAUGAAGGUAACCCAGGGAACUGAAACAUCUAAGUACCUGGAGGAAGAGAAAGAAAAAUCGAUUUUCUUAGUAGCGGCGAGCGAAAGGGAAAGAGCCCAAACCGGAAACUUGUUUCCGGGGUUGUGGACAUAACAUAAAAGUGGAGGCUAUUGUAACUGAAGAGAACUGGAAAGUUCCACCGUAGAAGGUAAUAGUCCUGUAAGUGAAACGAGAAGACCACGAGUUAUGAUCCAGAGUACCACGAGACACGUGAAACCUUGUGGGAAGCAGGGAGGACCACCUCCCAAGGCUAAAUACUACCUGAUGACCGAUAGUGAAGCAGUACCGUGAGGGAAAGGUGAAAAGAACCCCGGGAGGGGAGUGAAAUAGAACCUGAAACCGUGUGCCUACAACCGCUCAGAGCCCCUUAUGAGGGUGAUGAGGUGCUUUUUGUAGAACGAGCCAACGAGUUACGGUAUGUAGCAAGGUUAAGUACUUAAGGUACGGAGCCGAAGGGAAACCGAGUCUGAAUAGGGCGACUAGUUGCAUGCCGUAGACCCGAAACCGGGUGACCUAUCCAUGGCCAGGUUGAAGCGAGGGUAAAACCUCGUGGAGGACCGAACCACGUUGCUGUUGAAAAAGCAUGGGAUGAGCUGUGGAUAGCGGAGAAAUUCCAAUCGAACCCGGAGAUAGCUGGUUCUCUCCGAAAUAGCUUUAGGGCUAGCGUCGAGUAUGAGUAGUGGAGGUAGAGCACUGAAUGGGCUAGGGGGCAUAGCGCUUACCGAACCUUAUCAAACUCCGAAUGCCACAUACUUUGAGCUCGGCAGUCAGACUACGAAUGAUAAGAUCCGUGGUCAAAAGGGAAACAGCCCAGAUCGUCAGCUAAGGUCCCAAAGUGUAAGUUAAGUGGGAAAGGAUGUGAGAUUUCUAAGACAACUAGGAUGUUGGCUUAGAAGCAGCCAUUCAUUAAAAGAGUGCGUAAUAGCUCACUAGUCGAGAGAUCUUGCGCCGAAAAUGUAACGGGGCUAAACUUACCACCGAAGCUACGGGCUUGAACUUAUGUUCAAGCGGUAGGAGAGCGUCGUAACCGGGUUGAAGUCGUACCGUAAGGAGC
rnacentral:rRNA from 1 species